AAUGAUGCUCUUUUCGUCUCUAAAGG
rnacentral:piRNA from 1 species